rnacentral:rRNA from 1 species
UACGUAGGGGGCUAGCGUUGUCCGGAUUUAUUGGGCGUAAAGAGCGUGUAGGCGGCCAGGUAGGUCUGGUGCGAAAACUCGAGGCUUAACCUCGAGAUGUCAUCGGAAACCAUCUGGCUAGAGUCCGGAAGAGGAGAGUGGAAUUCCUGGUGUAGCGGUGAAAUGCGCAGAUAUCAGGAAGAACACCAAUGGCGAAAGCAGCUCUCUGGGACGGUACUGACGCUGAGACGCGAAAGCGUGGGGAGCGGACAGG